GGUCCCAUUAUGUGCAAAACACAAUGACUGGCACUGUACAUACUUCUAUCCCAUUUAAUUUAGUGAAAUGUAAGGUUUAUCAUUUCAAUUUUUGAAAGAAGA